UUCACUGUCAGCUGUUAGUCCAAAUUCUCCUGCUCACCGUCAUGACCGACCAAGGUGUGGAGGCCAGUUCGCCGAUCGUAAAUCUGGCUGAGCUGGGUGCAUUGCGGGGCAGCACCGGCACGAGCGCAUGGACGGGUCGCAAGUUUUAUCAAUUCCUGGGUGUUCACUACGCCCAAACUACGUCCGGCAAGAAUCGGUUCCGGCCUCCAAUAAAAGUAGCCCCCUGGCAGGGGAUAAAGGAUGCCACCCGGCACGGUAUGCCCUGUCCGCAGCUGAAGCUGCUGUCCCUAUUUACCGGCAAAGCGUUUGCCGGUGAUCCGGAAGACUGUUUGACGCUGUCAAUCUACAGCUCCGAUCUCGCGGCCAAGCGCCCGGUGAUGGUGUUCAUCCACGGGGGCGGUUUUUACGAAGGCUGUGCCAAAAACCAAACGGGCGAGUAUCUGAUGGAACGGGACGUCGUCCUAGUGACCAUCCAGUAUCGGCUGGGGCCGCUCGGUUUUCUGCAGACCGACACCGGCAGCAUUCCCGGCAAUAUGGGGCUGAUGGAUAUGAAGCUGGCGCUCGAAUGGGUACAGGAGCAUAUCGGGCGGUUCGGGGGCGAUCCGGCCAAUGUGACGCUGUUCGGGCAGUCGGCCGGUGCGGCCGCCAUUUCCGCCCUGCUGUACAGCCCGCAGGUGCCGGACGGGUUGUUCCACAAGGUGAUACUGCAGUCGGCCGGCUCGAGUGCGCCGUGGGUGUGGGACAGGGAACCGCUGCAAAGUGUGCGAGAUCUAGCGUUUGAAGCUGGCGAGGAAUUUGAUGCACCGGAGGAAGAAAUCGACACGUUUUAUCAGAACGUAGACGUUUGGAAGCUGCUGCAAGUGUUCAACGAGUACAAGGUAAAGACGACGCUGGAGAGCGGAUUAGAUCGUGUCGGUGGCAAUCGGCUCGUGACCGGCGAUUGGGAGCGAUACCUACCGCAAACGCCGCUGGAGUGUAUGAAGCAGGGCAAGGUGCGGCCCAACAUCCCGAUGAUGGCGGGCGUCACCAAGCACGAGGGCACCUUUCUGCUGACGACCGUGUACGAUCAUUUCAAGAGGACGGGCAAGCUGGAUGAUCCUACUUUUAUGAAGUACGGCUUGAUGGAUGCUGUGAGCAAGUUCCUGGGUGCAGGAGAUGAUCCCACCGGUGCGUUCGUUGGGUAUCAGAUGCGAUCGUUGUUCACGUCGAAAGAGCUGGAAAGUGGCAGCUUCGGUGAGAUGGCCGAUGGAUUGAUUGAUCUGGCCGGCACCAUACUGAUCAAAGCGCCGCUGCUCCGCGAAGCGCAGGCGAAUGCACGCGUCAAUCCAAACGCGACGUACCUGUACACGUUCGAUUACGUCGGCGAGCAUUCGCGGUUCGGCUAUGGGAACGAUACGUCCCACUAUCCGUUCGGCGGUGGCGUGCACCAUUCCGACGACAAGCUGUACCUUUUCCCGUACCCACCGGGCAAGCCGGACGCGCUGAACGAACGCGAUACGGCGAUGGCGAAGCUGAUGGUCGACCUGUGGACGUCGUUUGCGGCGGAAGGGGUACCAAAGUCGGACCGCUUGACCGUACCGUGGAACCCGAUGACAGCUUACGCUGGGCCUUACCUUCACAUCAACGAUCCGCCGAGCGUGGGGGACAAUUUCUACCGCGAGUUUACCGCUGCGAGCGAUGAGAAACGAAGCCGGAACAAGGAACGUACCUAAAAAGAGAGAGAGAGAGAGGAAGGAAGAGUGGCCUUUUCUUAUACUUAAAACCGAUCCAUCUAUACAACACCAUUCAUCAUCACAUAUCGCGGUGGGUUAAAGGUUAUAGCUCAGCAAGAGUUACAGGUCCGGCCAUAGCCGAAUGUCCGGGCUGUGUGUGCUGUGUCGAUACACAGUUGCCGGAUGUCACAGCAGCGUGCGUUUUGGCAAUCCCCCAUACCGAUAAAGGAUAUUAAAAGGAUAAAAGUGGUCAAUUAAACCUCACAAUAGUGCACCGCAGGCAGGCAGGCAGGCGGGCAGUGCCACGCACGCCACGACAUUGCCCUCAAUCCUUUUCACACCGACCCCAAAUUAAGCCCUUUUUACCCCGUUUGCAAGACCCGUAGUACCGUACGGAAUUUGAUCCCGAAAUGGUGGACCACGAUCACCGGGGAAAGGCUUUAACACGGAAUCCUGCUUGCAGCAAUGGGUGGGUACUGGCCACCCGUCGAUCCUGGGUCACAUGGUGGUGAUCUCUGGGAAAUAUAUUUUUUCACAUGUUUCUUAAAGUGUUGCUGAAGAGCAAAUUCCAGCACGGAAGCAUCGGAAAGGGCGUUCUAAUUUUCUGACAAUUAUCAUGUUGAAUUGUUCGUUUAGUUUUUGAGUUAUUUUCAUGCAUUGAACAUUAACCGAAUUUGAUUUCUUAUAUCUUUUUUACAAAUUACAUCAUUAUUAUACAUCAUACGUCAUACAUCAUUAGUAUACAUAAUUAUUCAAUGAAAAUUGUUACGAAAUGUAAUUUCCCUUUUUGUUAAAUGUUAAAAAAGCGUCUGUAGUACGUUAAACAUCCAUUGUUUUCCAAUAAUUUCUAUCCAUUUGCAAACCGUUUAGUUCAAAUAAAUGAAUAAAUGAAACAAAAAGGACUCCUCUAAACGUA